rnacentral:rRNA from 1 species
UGAAUAGUGUAUCAGAACGUGCCUAGUAGCGGGGGAUAGCUACACGAAAGCGUAACUCAUACCGCAAACGCCCUACCGGGGAAAGCAUGGGAUCGCGAGACCUUGCACUAUUAGAGCGGCCGAAUAUCGGCAUAUAGCUAGUUGGUGGGGUAACGGCUCACCAAGGCGACGAUGCGUAGCUGGUUUGAGAGGACGACCAGCCACACUGGGCACUGAGACACGGCCCAGACUCCUACGGGAGGCAGCAGUGGGGAAUUUUGGACAAUGGGGGAAAGCCUGAUCCAGCCAUCCCGCGUGUGCGAUGAAGGCCUUCGGGUUGUAAAGCACUUUUGGCAGGAAAGAAACGUCAUGGGCUAAUACCCCGUGAAACUGACGGUACCUGCAGAAUAAGCACCGGCUAACUACGUGCCAGCAGCCGC